rnacentral:misc_RNA from 1 species
UUGGGGUAUACCUGUUCGAGCGCCGUCAUGUGUCUAAGGCUUUGCCUUGCGUUGAUGCUGCCCCGGUAGGGGCUCAUCGAAACACAUCGGCGUCUUCUCUAGGCCCGAACCGCAGCAAGUAUGCGAGGAAGGAGGAGAGGAGGCAGCCAGUUAUCCGAAAUCAUGGCCUCGGAUCAGGUAGGGAUACCCGCUGAACUUAA